rnacentral:rRNA from 1 species
AGCGAACGCUGGCGGCAGGCUUAACACAUGCAAGUCGAGCGGGCGUAGCAAUACGUCAGCGGCAGACGGGUGAGUAACGCGUGGGAACGUACCUUUUGGUUCGGAACAACACAGGGAAACUUGUGCUAAUACCGGAUAAGCCCUUACGGGGAAAGAUUUAUCGCCGAAAGAUCGGCCCGCGUCUGAUUAGCUAGUUGGUAGGGUAAUGGCCUACCAAGGCGACGAUCAGUAGCUGGUCUGAGAGGAUGAUCAGCCACAUUGGGACUGAGACACGGCCCAAACUCCUACGGGAGGCAGCAGUGGGGAAUAUUGGACAAUGGGGGCAACCCUGAUCCAGCCAUGCCGCGUGAGUGAUGAAGGCCCUAGGGUUGUAAAGCUCUUUUGUGCGGGAAGAUAAUGACGGUACCGCAAGAAUAAGCCCCGGCUAACUUCGUGCCAGCAGCCGCGGUAAUACGAAGGGGGCUAGCGUUGCUCGGAAUCACUGGGCGUAAAGGGUGCGUAGGCGGGUUUUUAAGUCAGGGGUGAAAUCCUGGAGCUCAACUCCAGAACUGCCUUUGAUACUGAAGAUCUUGAGUCCGGGAGAGGUGAGUGGAACUGCGAGUGUAGAGGUGAAAUUCGUAGAUAUUCGCAAGAACACCAGUGGCGAAGGCGGCUCACUGGCCCGGUACUGACGCUGAGGCACGAAAGCGUGGGGAGCAAGCA